UACAGAGGUCUCAAGCGUUGUUCGGAUUCAUUGGGCGUAAAGGGUGCAUAGGCGGCGCGGUAAGUCGGGUGUGAAAUCUUGGAGCUUAACUCCGAAACUGCAUUCGAUACUGCCGUGCUUGAGGACUGGAGAGGAGACUGGAAUUUACGGUGUAGCGGUGAAAUGCGUAGAUAUCGUAAGGAAGACCAGUGGCGAAGGCGGGUCUCUGGACAGUUCCUGACGCUGAGGCACGAAGGCCAGGGGGAGCAAACGGG
rnacentral:rRNA from 1 species